rnacentral:rRNA from 1 species
ACUCAAAUGAAUUGACGGGGGCUCACACAAGCGGUGGAGCAUGUGGCUUAAUUCGAGGCUACGCGCAGAACCUUAUCCCGGGCUUGACAUGCACGGAUUAGCCGGCGGAAACGUCGGUGACAUCGCGAGAUGGAACGUGCACAGGUGCUGCAUGGCUGUCGUCAGCUCGUGCCGUGAGGUGUUGGGUUAAGUCCCGUAACGAGCGAAACCCCUGCCCCUAGUUGCCAGCGCGUCAUGGCGGGAACUCUAGGGGGACCGCCGGCGUCAAGCCGGAGGAAGGCGGGGACGACGUCAAGUCCUCAUGGCCCUUAUGCCCGGGGCCGCACACGUGCUACAAUGGGCCGGACAGGGCGUCGCCACGGCGCAAGCCGGAGCUAAUCGCGCAAACCGGCCCCCAGUUCGGAUUGCGGGCUGCAACCCGCCCGCAUGAAGCCGGAAUCGCUAGUAAUCGCGGAUCAGCACUGCCGCGGUGAAUGGGUUCCUGAGCCUUGUACACACCGCCCGU